rnacentral:tRNA from 1 species
UCCCUCGUGGCUCAGACGGUAAAAGCAUCUGCCUACAAUGCAGGAGACCUGGGUUUGAUUCCUGGGUUGGGAA